UUUAACGCGUUAAUUACGAUUAAUUGAUUAGAAAAAAAUAACGCGUUAAAAAAAAUUAACGCAUUUGAUCACAGCUUGCAUUUCAAGCACGGCGGAACCUUUGUCAUUGCACGUUUUCCUCGUAGACCGAAUAUCACUGACGCACACAACAAUGCACAGUGGCUAAUGGCUACUAAAACGAAAUAAAAACAGAAAGAAGUUGCCUUGCUUGGACUGAUGCAGGAUUUAGGAAACACAACCGCCUCUUUUCUUAACUUGGAAAAUAAAAACUUCCAGACAACAACGGAGUCCGUGUCGCGGACAUUUUUCAGAGCUCUGCUGCGGCUGCCCGCCCGGUGGCACAGGAAACUUUACAAAAGUUGCGGGGCAGCGAGGAACGAGGAAGUUGUGUUCAGGCUGGAGAUCACACCAGAUUCGCUGCAGCAUGUGUGAAUCUGCGGGUCGGCAGCAUCCCCUUAUUAACGUGACAGCAGAACUUCCCAUGUAAGGAAGGUCUGCUCACCUGUUCGUCAGAUCAUUAUUUCCUCGCCAUGAUCUUAUAACAUCCCAUCAACCUCCAGUCAUCCAACUGGAACCAGUUAGUGUUCCUGAUCAUUCUCAGAAUAUGCCAUGCCUGCUCUGGUGUUAAAAGUUAGUACAUUUAAGUACUAGAUCAUAUCUGUGCCUGUUCUACUGUCAUUCUGAAGGAUUAUUAUUUGUGUUUUUACUACUUUAUGAGCAGAAAUGCUAAUACAAUCUCCCAAUUAUACAAACAAGUGAAACUGGAAAAAUUAGAAUCUGGUGCAAAGUCAAAUUUAUUUCAGUCAUUCAACUAGACAGAGAGACUAUUUAAAGGCUCAGGAACCAUUUGCAGGUGUUUUCUAUUUGUAAUUAUGAAUUUUAGUUGAUUUGGGUUUUGUUUCAUAUCACACAGUGACAUGUGAAUAACUAAAAUGCAUUUUUUAUUAAAAGCUUUAGUUUACAGUAAUAACCAUGUCUAAUGUUUGAUUCUCUGUCUCAUAAUUUUAAUUAAAAGUUUUACUUUGAGAGUGCAUUUUCCUGAACGAUUAAAAUGCGAUUAAUCGAGAUUAAUUAAUUACAAAGCCUGUAAUAAAUUAGAUUAAUUUUUUUAAUCAAGUCCCAGACCUAGUUAAAACAUUUGUAAGAUGUUGAUUGCAUCAGAACCACUAGAUGUCGCCAUAGCACUAUGUACAACAACAGGUUUGCGUUGCAGACAGUGAAUCAAAGAUUUGUUUUCAAAUGUUCAUGAAAUGCGAGUUUUGGGCUUCUGUUUCUUUUUUGUGUGGAUAUUUGUUCCGGAAUCAAAGUAGAAAAAGAACAUCUACACUCGGGACACACACACACACACACACACACACUCACACAGGAUUUUCCAGCACAUCGAACAAAACAAACCCUGGAUGUUUUUAAUGUGUUGAUCUGGUCAGAACUGGACCUGUUGUCAUCAUGUUGUCGUUAUAUAAUAGCACUCUUUCAAAGUGAUGCGCAGCAGGUUUUUCCUCUAAUCCUACCAGUUCAGACUGACUGCACACUAGGUUCUGCAGCUUUUACGCAGAACACCGGUACUCAGGUUCUGACAGAAAAGGUGUUGCAGACAGUCUUCAUGACAAAUCACAUCUUAACUUAAAAAGACAUGAAGAGAUGAUGCAAACAGCAACUGCAAGAACACAAUUUAAAAAUUUAAUCUAGAUUUAUUUUUCAAAGUCAGUCAUUCCUUUCAUGGAUCAGGUCAGGUGGCGCAUCAAAAUCUCCUUUAACCACUCAUUUGGACUACUGCAACUCACUUUAUUGGGCCUGGAUCAGUCAUCUUUAAAUAGACGCCAGCUGGUUCAAAAUGCAGCGGCACGCUUGCUGACUGGCACCAGAAAGCGUGACCAUAUAACCCCAGUGUUGGUAUCUCUUCACUGGAUCCCUGUGUACUACAGGAUUCAUUUUAAUAAAGUCCUACUUUGUUUUUGAGGCCUAGUCCACACGUAGCCAGGGUUUUUUAAAAACGAAUAUCCGCCCCUCCAAAAACUUGCAUCCACACCACCUCGUUUUAAAAACAAACUCUGUCCAUACGUACCCGGAUAAAUACGUUGUUAAGGGCAUGCCAGACCUGUAGGUGGCAGUACUUCCCCCGUUCUUAACCUCGUCCUUCGUCUGUGGUCUUCCGCAAGGAGCAGUAAUUCCGCUUGCAAAAACAAACAAGCAAAAAGCGCUUGGACAACUGAUAAAGCGAGCGCAGCUCUGAGGGCAUCCAUGCUGUCGGCUAGUGUAAACACAGGUCGCACACGUGAUGUCAGCAUUUUUUGUUGCGGAAAGUGACGUUGCGGACCUUAAAACUCCGGUUUUGUCUGUCCACACGCAGACACCCAAAACGGAGAAAACGCAGAUCUUCACUUUGGCCGGAGUUUUUAAAAAGAUCCGUUUUCGUGUGAAAAAACUCAGUUUUCGUGUGGAUGACAGGCCAAAACGUAGAAAAAUAUCUACGUUUUGGCAGAUCACCGGCUACGUGUGGACAGGGCCUUAAAUCUCUUCAUGGAUUGGCUCCACCAUACAUCAGCUAUUGUUCAUCUCCCCUUAGAAACACGAGAUCUAGCUUGCAGUCUUUUGUUCCAAAAACACGUUUAAAAACUUGUGCAGACAGGGCUCUCUCUGUGGCCGGUGCUAGGCUGUGGAACAGCCUUCCUGUGACUGAGAGCCACACACAACAUAGAGCAUUUUAAAUAAUUACUUAAAACAUACUUGUUUGGUCUGGUUUUUAAUGCAGGUUGACUUGAGUAGUUACCUUUUGUUUUAUUUGACUUGUGUUUUUAUCUUAUACUCUUUUAACAUGAAAUGCUUUGAUAUGACUAAUUUUAACCUUGAUUUGACCACAAUUUGUUCUUUAUUGUGUUUUAUUUGUAUUUGGGUUUUUUUUUACCCUUGUUCAGCACUUUGGGGUUGCCUACGUGACUGUAAUUGUGCUACAUAAAUAAACCUUGACCUGAUGCAAACACACCCACAAAACAUCUAUACAAUCAAAAACACCAUUUUAAAGUUGUGUUGUUUUAUGUCAUCAAAUGGAAAAUACUGUUAAAAAGCACACAACGAUGUCCUUAUUAGAUUCAGCUUGUUCAUUAAAACUGUCACAAUCUGCUCCUGCCUCCCUGACUGUGUCUCUCCCCUGCCUGAUUAGUCUUUAUUGUUCUCACCUGCCCUGUGUUAAUCCGCCCAUGUGUUCCUGAUUUUCCCCUGUGUAUUUAUACCUCCCUUCUUGUAUCAGUCUUUGCCGGAUCAUUGUUUGUUGUCAGCGUUGUUUUUGUUCAGUCGUUCCCGCUCUGCCAUUAAAACUACUUUUAUUUCAUCCGUGCCUGCAUUCCUGCCUCCUGAUCUGCUCCACCACACAUGGUCCGCCGUCAUCCACACCCUCAACGUGGCAAAAACAUAAUAGUUAUUAUUUUACUUCACACAGGUUCAUCUGAUUCUUUUACAUUCACUUGAACCCAAAAUGGCAAUUUUUUUUCACCAAGGAAGUGAUGGAUAAUUCAUAAUAACAUGUUUAAUAUCUGCUAAUAAUGAGUAAGGUCACAAAAAAUGGUGCUAUGUUGUGGUGUGUUACACUCAGAGUGAACGAGGCAAUUAUUCCAGUUUUUGAUAACUUUUAGGAAGUACAGCUACAGCACUGUAAAAAAAUUAAAUAAGAAGAUGUGUGUGUGUGUGUGUGUGUGUGUGUGUGUGUGUGUGUGUGUGUGGUGGUGGUGGGGGGGGGGGUGCAUCAAUGAACAGACUACACUGACUAGCUCUCUUCUCUGCCAGCUCUGCCACACGCACCCCAUUUCCAAGGCAACAAACUGAUGGUGUUCAUGCUGUGAGAGGUUGUAUCUAAGUGUAACUGUGCAUAACAUAAAAACACCAACGCAAAGUGAUCAUGACUAAUAAAAUAAUGGUUGGUUUUGCCUUUUAACCCCAACAGAGAAACACUAACUGUUUUUAAUGGUGCAUCAAAUCAGGGUAAACCACAGCUCCAAUAGCUCAUCCAGACAGCUCAUAGCUCUUCUUGGUUCUCCAUCAAUUUCAUAAGCUGAUUUUAUGAUUUGAGGUGUUUUUGGACCCUAAAAAUCACACAGAAUCAGUGUUUUUGUGAAGCUUAGAGAAGAAUGGUAGCACCUUGACUGAAUUCCUGACUUGUAAAGAUCUGCAAGGUUUUCUCUGUUGGAAUAAACACGUUUUUGGUUGAA